GAGUUUGAUCGUGGCUCAGAUUGAACGCUGGCGGCAUGCCUUACACAUGCAAGUCGAACGGCAGCACGGGAGCUUGCUCCUGGUGGCGAGUGGCGAACGGGUGAGUAAUGCAUCGGAACGUAUCCUGGAGUGGGGGAUAACGUAGCGAAAGUUACGCUAAUACCGCAUAUUCUGUGAGCAGGAAAGCGGGGGACCUUCGGGCCUCGCGCUCUUGGAGCGGCCGAUGUCGGAUUAGCUAGUUGGUGAGGUAAAGGCUCACCAAGGCGACGAUCCGUAGCAGGUCUGAGAGGAUGAUCUGCCACACUGGAACUGAGACACGGUCCAGACUCCUACGGGAGGCAGCAGUGGGGAAUUUUGGACAAUGGGGGCAACCCUGAUCCAGCCAUGCCGCGUGAGUGAAGAAGGCCUCGGUUGUAAGUACUCUUUCGUCGACGGGAAGGAAAGUUAGUACGACCGGAACCGAACGUAACC
rnacentral:rRNA from 1 species